rnacentral:rRNA from 1 species
GACGAACGCUGGCGGCGUGCUUAACACAUGCAAGUCGAACGAAGUGGCGCACGGGUGAGUAACGCGUAAUCAACUUGCCCUUCAGAGGGGCACAACAGUUGGAAACGACUGCUAAUACCGCAUACUGAAGGAGGGGAUUGCGUCUGAUUAGCUAGUUGGAGGGGUAACGGCCCACCAAGGCGAGGAUCAGUAGCCGGUCGUGGAGGAGGAAAGGCCACAAUGGGAAUGGGACACGGCCCAGACACCUACGGGAGGCAGCAGUGGGGGAUCUUCCGCAAUGGACGAAAGUCUGACGGAGCAACGCCGCGUGAGUGAUGACGGCCUUCGGGUUGUAAAGCUCUGUUAAUCGGGACGCGGUACCGGAAUAGAAAGCCACGGCUAACUACGUGCCAGCAGCCGCGGUAAUUC